rnacentral:tRNA from 1 species
AGGCUUGUAGCUCAGGUGGUUAGAGCGCACCCCUGAUAAGGGUGAGGUCGAUCAGGUUCAAGUCCACUCAGGCCUACCA